rnacentral:lncRNA from 1 species
GACAAUGUAAAAUCUGGUGAUAUAAUCUUUCACCAGAAUAUAGAUCUUUGAGAAUUCCAUAGUUUAUCUUCCCAUCUAAUAAGAUUGAAGAAGUCCUUUCAUGCCCGUGCAUAUUUAAAUCUUCAGCAUCUGCAUUGCCUACAAUAUUACUUGAAGAUACACUGCAAACUGAUGGGUUCUUCACUUCUCCAUAUGAUUCCACGUAAUCAGCAAGCAAGACAUUUGUCUGAGGUAUGCUUGUAUUAUUCCAUGAUGCCUUUGAAGAGACAUUUCUAUCUGACCAUGUUGGAGAUGAUAUG